GCCUACGGGGGGCAGCAGUAGGGAAUCUUCCACAAUGGGCGAAAGCCUGAUGGAGCAACGCCGCGUGGGUGAAGAAGGUCUUCGGAUCGUAAAACCCUGUUGUUAGAGAAGAAAGUGCGUGAGAGUAACUGUUCACGUUUCGACGGUAUCUAACCAGAAAGCCACGGCUAACUACGUGCCAGCGGCCGCGGUAAUACGUAGGUGGCAAGCGUUAUCCGGAUUUAUUGGGCGUAAAGGGAACGCAGGCGGUCUUUUAAGUCUGAUGUGAAAGCCUUCGGCUUAACCGGAGUAGUGCAUUGGAAACU
rnacentral:rRNA from 1 species